UAAGGAAUAUUGCUCAAUGGGAGAAAUCCUGAAGCAGCAACGCCGCGUGGAGGAUGAAGGGUCUAUGACUUGUAAACUCCUGUAAAGAAGGAAAAAAUUCCCAUUUGAUGGGAGAUGAUGGUACUUCUGGAGUAAGCCCCGGCUAACUACGUGCCAGCAGCCGCGGUAAUACGUAGGGGGCAAGCGUUGUCCGGAUUUACUGGGUGUAAAGGGUGCUCAGGCGGAUUUGUAAGUCAGAGGUGAAAUCUUACAGCUUAACUGUGAAACUGCCUUUGAUACUGCAAGCCUAGAGUAUGGAAGAGAGUGAUGGAAUAUCUGGUGUAGCAGUGAAAUGCGUAGAUAUCAGAUAGAACACCUAUGACGAAGGCAGUCACUUGGUCCAUUACUGACGCUAAAGCACGAAAGCGUGGGUAGCAAACA
rnacentral:rRNA from 1 species